GUGCGCGAGACGGCGGCAGCUAGAGCGCUGCUCGUUUGUCAGCGGCUCGGGAAGAGGGAGCUGGUGCUAGAACGGGAGAACGGAGCAGAGGACCACAGGCUGUGAGACUGCAGCGGGGAACGAGUCAGAGCACUGCCGGGAGACGGGAGACAAAAAACACCAACUCAUCCUGUUUUAUUCCUACAGCUGCGAGAAGAGGGAAAAACCUGUCCACGUUUGCUUAAACAGGUCUGAAGUCCUUCUCAGCAGUCAGAGUCUGUGGAUAUCUCCAACUGGAGGACAAACCCCUUUGAUUGGAUCCCCAUAGGGCUGGAGGUUGGACUACAGGUGCUUUUCAGGAGCAGUGGAGGGGAAGUGAUGUAGCCAGUGCUUAAUUUGAGCCGGAUCCUGCCGGAACAUUAUCCGGCACCUCUCAAUUUUGGACAGUUUCGUUCCGGAACCCGUUUGCCAGGAUCCGGUACCUCUCUUGGCAUGACAUUUUUUGUUUCUUCACAAUCAAAUCAAUCAGAGUUAAUUACAUUUGCCUCCUCUGUUAUUCUCCUGCCACAUAAAAAACAUAGCCUAAUGUGAAAGGGUGUCUGAUAUUGUAAGAAUUGAUUUGUGUUGGGCCGGACCGUGUUUAUGGUUUGCUCAACAUUGUAGCCUGUAUAGACCAACGCGCAUCAUUGGGUGAAUCAGUGAAACUGGAGAGAUUUUUUAGGACUAUCAUUUCCUCCUCAUAUUGUACAAUAUGUGUCUCCACACACCUAGACCUACUGUAGACUAUUGAUGGAUUCAAGACAAGUUCGUUUUUAUUGAUCUCCGUUUGUCAGUGUCAAAGUUUCCUGUCA
rnacentral:lncRNA from 1 species